rnacentral:rRNA from 1 species
GAUGAACGCUGGCGGCGUGCUUAACACAUGCAAGUCGAGGGGUAACAGUAUGUAGCAAUACAUAGCUGACGACCGGCGCACGGGUGAGUAACGCGUAUGCAACCUGUCCGUUACAGGGGGAUAGCCCAUGGAAACGUGGAUUAACACUCCAUAAUAUAAUAUAGAGGCAUCUUUGUAUUAUUAAAUAUUCAUAGGUAACGGUUGGGCAUGCGUCCUAUUAGAUAGUUGGGGGGGUAACGGCCCACCAAGUCGAUGAUAGGUAGGGGUUCUGAGAGGAAGGUCCCCCACACUGGUACUGAGACACGGACCAG